rnacentral:lncRNA from 10 species
GUCCGCGCGCGCGGGGCGGCCGCGGCGGUGAGCCUGCGCGUCAGGGCCGCCGGCCUCUCCUUGGCUGUUGGAGGUGAUAGGGGUCGAGGGGAGGGAAAAAGGGGCUGGCGUCAGCCGCCCCUGUGAGGUGGCCGUAGCGUGGACGAGUAAGAAGGGUUGAGUAAAGUGGACAAACACCUGGUUAGGAGAAGAGGGCAGGCCCGCAGCCGCCCUCCGGAGGAGGACUCGGGGCCUCGCGGGCGCCGGAGGAGGUUCCUGGGCCUCGGAGGGCCGCCCCGGCGCGCCGCCCCGGCGCGAGCGGGCGCGGGCGGGGGAGGGGAAGUGAGAGGUUGUUUAUGACCGGGGACUAAUCUCCUCCGCGAGUCCCAGCGCUCCCUCUGGGGAGUGCGGUUGAGGGGCUGUCCUCGCACGGAGCCUCGCUCGGCCUCGGGGGAGCCACGAGAGGUGGGAGUUGGACCCGCAGCGGGCCAGGAGCCCUGUCAUUGGAGGACCCGCCAAAAAGGAAGCAAACCCUCUUUUUCUUUAUCCAACCCCAAAUAGCUAGGGCCUAGGGGGAAGACUCACAUAUCGAUAAAUGGUUUGUUGCCCGUUUUAUUCUCUGGGAAAUACAACUGAUCUUACCAAAGAAAUAACCUGUCUCUUGCCGUGUUUACUUAGAGCCAUAGAAUACCUGUUUCAGAGCUGAAGGGGACCUGAGCCCAUGAUAAUCCAUUACCUCGUGAGAAAGCGGAAAAACUGACUUCAGCUUGCCCAGAUGGCGCAGAGAAUGGGUUUCCCGUAACCCCGCCUGUGUCUUUCCUUCAGCCUCGUCCCAAAUGCCGUGGGAGGGAAGGCACUCUCUGUCAAGCUGCUGUCACCUUACCUGAAGUAAGGAGUCCACGCCUGCAUGUCCGAGGAAAACAGUUUUCUCAAACACAUUAGUUGAAAAACUGAAGACGCUGCCUAAAAUACAAGCUGAGUUAGAGACAGCCCUUGUAAGACUAGGAAAGGCCUUGUGAGGACAUAACCAGGAAGAGAGUCCUCACCAGAACCUGACCAUACCUGCACCCUGAUCUCAAGCUUCCAGCUUCCAGAACCAUGAGAAAUCAAUGUUUGUUGUUUUAGCCACCCAGUCUACAGAAAUUUGUUAUAGCCACCCUAGCUGACUACCACAUUGGACAUCACAGCAAACACUACAACCAAUAAAAGAAAUGGCUGAAAUCCUUUGGAACCAAUAUGACCAACUGGAGUCGGUGCAGAAGGAGCUUGCUGACAACGCAGCCUGAAUUUCCACCCUAUGUUUCAUACCAACUCCCCCUGAAUUUGCACAUGUGAUACAUGAGAUAGCAUGAAGAGAUAACUGAGCAUGCCCAAGGACUUUCCAGACUUCUGCUUUCCUUCCACCAAUCACCUGCUAAUCUCAGAAUCCACCCCCUGAAACUUUUCUAAUAAAAAUACUGUUUUGAAGGCAGCACAGGGAGACA